AUGCACGCUGGCGGCGUGCCUAAUCCAUGCAAGUCGCGCGAACGGACGAGAAGCUUGCUUCUCUGAUGUUAGCGGCGGACGGGUGAGUAACACGUGGAUAACCUACCUAUAAGACUGGGAUAACUUCGGGAAACCGGAGCUAAUACCGGAUGAUAUUUUGAACCGCAUGGUUCAAAAGUGAAAGACGGUCUUGCUGUCACUUAUAGAUGGAUCCGCGCUGCAUUAGCUAGUUGGUAAGGUAACGGCUUACCAAGGCAACGAUGCAUAGCCGACCUGAGAGGGGGAUCGGCCACACUGGAACUGAGACACGGUCCAGACUCCUACGGGAGGCAGCAGUAGGGAAUCUUCCGCAAUGGGCGAAAGCCUGACGGAGCAACGCCGCGUGAGUGAUGAAGGUCUUCGGAUCGUAAAACUCUGUUAUUAGGGAAGAACAUAUGUGUAAGUAACUGUGCACAUCUUGACGGUACCUAAUCAGAAAGCCACGGCUAACUACGUG
rnacentral:rRNA from 1 species